rnacentral:sRNA from 1 species
UCGAGCCUUCACCACCAUGGACAUAGUCUCAGUGAUGUAACCUCUUCCCUCUGAGUUCUACCUUCCGAAGGUCCUACUGUCUUCAGUAGUACCAUGGACUGGGGUCAAGCCUUUGACACUUAGGCUGUUGAUAGGUAUUCCAGAUCCAAACAACAGUAAGGUACCUUGGGACAUGACAUGACAGAUUAUGACGCUCAUGGUCUUCUCCCUGGGUGUAUGUGGUCUAUCCACUUCAAUGACAUUAAAAUUAAAAAGCAGAGUUGUGAGACCAGGAAGCUGUGGGACCAGAAAGAAUAGGCCUGGAGAAGAGUGGGAUUGAGACCUGUUCAAACCCUGGAAAUCUCAUCCUUGAGAUUGGAAGGAGUAGGACCUCUCCCUCUCCCCUGCCUUGGACCUUCAUGUCCUGAUAUGUAGCACUGUGGCCCUACUCUUACCUCACCAGAGGUCACAUAGCCAUAGCUAGUAGCCAGGUUAAAUUUCCUCUCUCCUUAUAAGGUCAUGUCCAGCAGCACCUGAAACUCCGUCCUAUGCAAAUGAGGCAUCCCUAGAACUCUGGCUUGGACCAAUGAUGUACACUCAACUGAGUCCCUACUCAUCCCCAAAGGUUUAAAAUGACCUUUGUCCCCACCAAUUAAACUGAACCAGCUCUUCAAAGCUGUUCCUGGAUAUGUGUGUUCUUUACCGGUGCACUCACUGCUAAUCAAGGCCCUGUACUGCACCCACCUGCCUGGGCUAAGCUUCCUGUGGCUACUCUGAUGGGAAGAAGUGCUCACAGAGCUGCACAGACUUCUGGGAAUGACAGCAUUGUAGAGGAGGUGAUGUUGGGUCCUGGUUCAAGUGUCCCCUUGUUCUGCCUUUGCUCCUUGUUAAUAUCACAAAUCAAAUAUGGUUGAGUCCUAAGCCUUGUACUUAAGGCCUUCGAGGCAGAGGCCAGUUGUUAACCAUUAUGGUAUUCAGUGGGGCUUUCCCCCAGAGGGCAUAUAUCCAUUUGGUCAGGUUUGCUUUUUUUUGUUGUUGUUUUUACUUAUUACCCCUAAAGGGGCCUCUUGUUUACUCAGGUUCAAAAAGACGUUCAGGUCAUACAGACAAACUUUGGAGAAUGCUAACAGAGGCUCAGCUAACAUGACUGAAUGAAUUAACUAGUAACAAUCACUGACAUCCUAUCCCCUGGAGCUAUGGCCUUUCUAGGUCAUCAAUGCUGGAAAACAGAAGACUGAAGACUGGAGGAGAUUGUGGUGUGCAUGGAGGCAGAAGUGAUUUUAUUCGAUGAAGUCAAACCUAUGAAAAUAAUCUUCAGCCAAAGUCCAGCCCAGGCCUGGCACCACCGUAGGCAAGCGGGCCCUGUUUUCCAGUUGAAUUGUCCAUCUCUUCAGGAUGGGCCUGAUGGCGGUAGAGAGUCAAUGAAGGCAGAACAAAGGAGCCAGCUUUUCAGGCUGGCCAUGAAGCAGGUGGCUUUCCAGGGGACACAUUGGCCAAGCUUUGUUUCUGCCUCUGCCCAGGAGAGUUGGAGUCUUCUAGAACCAGUAGACAGGGGUUACACUCAGGAGUGGCAUUCUACAGCAGGGAUUUCCCAACACAUCAACCCCAGAGGUACCACGUAGAGGUCUGACUCCUUAGAACCUAAGAUGGGUGCACAAGCUUGCAGUCUCGAGAUGACAGAUGGCGUCACAUGGAGAGCAAACCCAACGUUGCCGCUCGCUGCAGAGUGUGAAGCAGGCUCUGACCCUUACUUAGCCUCUAGGCGAGAAAGUGUCACGUCACUUUCUUAAUUUCUUUUUUUUUUUUUUUGACAUAUUCUUCCCUCCGCAAAGAACGAAUGUAUUACAGAAGCUCAACGGUCGGUGUUAAACAGGGCGCUGAAGAGCAGAGUCAUCGUGCAGGUCCAAAACGGGGAGAAUGCCCCAUUUGCGUGGGGCUUGUAAGGGAGACAGGCACACUGGAAAGCAACCUACUUUGAUUACAGCAGGUGGUCAGUCACAUACAAGUUUACGUACUUGGAGGCCAGACCUCGUGGGAGGAUAUUAAGUUAUUAAGUACACCGAUCUUGGGUGGGAUUAAUGUUAACCGUGUGGAUAAAGUUCUCCCAAGAAUGAGCUGUUCUUUAAAGAGUGAGACUGGAUCCCACCUCAGGCCUUGGGCUCCUACGUCAUAAUGCUUCUUACAGUUGUUCUCACUGUGAUGCCAUUACCAUGACAAUUAUGGGGCAUGUGGUUGCCAAGGGACUCUCUGAGCCCAACAAAAACUUUUUCUUCCUACAUUACCCAACCUCAGGCAUUUCGUCAUAGCAGCAGGGGGUUAAGACGAUCGUUGCUUAGAUAAGGGGCAUUGAAGGCACUUUGGGAGCACUGAGUAGGGUCACCCUCAUUAGUUUAGAGGAAUAGGCAGUUGUGUCAGAGAAAGCCAUGGUUCUAGCAAGAUCUUGUGGCUGAAAAGAAUCAUCCAUCGAAAGGAACAGGAUCUAGAUCAGCAAAAGGGGAGAAGGGCUUGAAGAAUAAAAGAAAGGCAAGGUACACAGAGGGGCUCAGGCAGUGUCAUUGUGAUGGGUCACCUGUCAGAGAGUUGGGCUGAUACAGAAACUCCAUGCCCAUAAAGGACAUGCUCCCAGCAUGCCUUGCCCUGUGCAAUCUCUGAAGGGGUAGGGGUAUUUUCUUCCACAGCAGCCCUUAAAACCACAUCUCUUCCUUGCAUCCAGACGUGAGUGAGCCCAUUUGCUGACUAUAGAGAAACGAUCAGUCACACUCAGCCGUUUGAAGACCACAAAGUUGGAACUUCGGCUUCUGCCACGCACGCCCCACGCUCCCAAAUUCCCGUAGCUGGCAGAACCCAGCUGAGUCACCAUGCGAAGGAAAACACCACACAAUCUUAGUUUAUAAUCAACAGGAUACACUACUGGGCCAAAUGGUUAUUGUGACAUUUUCAGGAAGCACAGAUGUUCAUACUCCAUCCACAGCAAAGAAUCCUGGAUUUACUCAGACCUCUUCGGUAUGCAGAUUCCUCAUAGAAGUUAGAGACGGAAGCAAUUUGAGUCAUCAGUGCGCCACUUAUUUCUAUGUUCUUUAUGCAAAAACAUGUUUAACAGACAUAUGAAGAAUAGACCUUUUAUUUCUUCUUUGUAGAUGUCCCCAGGUAAAACAUCAUGUAAUUAGUUAAUGCCUUUGUUAGAAACACAUUAGGAAAAGGAGCCGUCUUGCUGCCAGUUCUGCUGAAUGCACAAGUAAGCUAUUGAUAAAGACCUUACCUGAGCAUGAUGAGGGUUGGUUCCUCCCCCCCCCACCCCAGGAGAUGAGAAGACGGGCGAGGUGAAUGGCAAAGCACAUGAGACCUCUAUCUACCAACUGCUUAAAAGACAGAAAGGUCCCAGGGCAGAACGAGCAUGCACAGUGCUACAAAUCCAAUUACGUCACAACAGACACCUUUAAUCAAGCUGUUACAUUGUUGCUUUCUUUAAAGGGAGCAAACAAAACCUCCCCUUUGGACAUAUUGCUCACAGGAGUACAGCCAUGCCUCCUUCUCAGUGCUUUCCAAGAGAGCAGCUCAGCCUCAGACAUUGUCAGUACUGAAGGAACUCUGCUCCUUUCUUUUUUU